rnacentral:sRNA from 1 species
UGUGUGUGUGUGUGUGUGUACCAUGUGCUUGACUGGACUGGUGAUGUCCAAGCAGGUCAGUAGCAGGUGUCAGAUCCCCUAGAUCUGGAAUUUCAGGGUGUGUCACUGCCAUAUGGGUGCUAGGGAUCAAACCUGGGUCUUCUGGAAGAACAGCAUGAGCUCUAACUACUGAGCCAUCUCGCCAUACCGUUCAUAUCCCUUUAAUCAUGGCAAGUCAUCGGAAUAGCCCCUCUCUGAGGUCAGGUUAUAUCAUCUGGAAGGAGGAUGUUGGUUUCUGUCUGGCCGACACGCACUGGAAAGUGCCAAGUACAGACUGGCAGAUGCUUCAUCUCUGUCACAGAGUUAGAAAUGCUAGUUCUCUGGCCUCACUGCACACCUAUUCAGUCAGAAUCCCCGAGAUGUAUCCAACAGUCAGGAUUUAACGGGAUUCCAGUACACACUCGCAAAGCUCUAAGACUGCCCAAUGGAAAAAAACCCUUCAAAAGAGAAGAGCAGCCCUAGGAGCCAUCUGAGGACUGGGGAGGGACUGGACAGCUCUCCCCACCUGAGGGCAUCAUACCCUUUGUCAUAGAGUCAGAGCAAUAAGAGAUGAAGGGGACUAGAAAGCAGACAUGGUGACAUAUGCCUGUGCCCAGGUACUCAGGCAAAAGGAAAGGACUGAGCGCUUAGCUUCUUCGGGUACAGGCAGAGCCAGGGUGAAAGGUGUAGCUGGCAACACUGUCAGCCCAACAAGAGGCCUGAAAGCCAGGCCUUAGCAUCCUGUGGACAGGCAGCCUGAGUGUCUCUCUCAGGGUUUUGCCCACAGGCAUUGCCAGCAUCAAGGCAGAGCGUGCACUGACGUGAUCCAAAGGUGAUGCCCUUAAGUACCUAAUCCUGCCCUUCUGACGUAGGAUGACGAGGCCACUCCCCUCCACUGACCUUGGUGUUCUUCCUCUUCUAGAUGGCAGACUGUGGAGGACUGCCCCAAGUAGUUCAGCCUGGGAAGCUCACCGAGGCCUUCAAGUACUUUUUGCAGGGAAUGGGCUACAUCCCGUAUGUGCAGCUCAGUCACCUCAGCAGCGAGUCAGGUACUUUCU